rnacentral:rRNA from 1 species
CCUACGGGAGGCAGCAGUGAGGAAUAUUGGUCAAUGGACGAGAGUCUGAACCAGCCAAGUAGCGUGAAGGAUGACUGCCCUAUGGGUUGUAAACUUCUUUUAUAAAGGAAUAAAACGAGGCACGUGUGCCUUUUUGCAUGUACUUUAUGAAUAAGGAUCGGCUAACUCCGUGCCAGCAGCCGCGGUAAUACGGAGGAUCCGAGCGUUAUCCGGAUUUAUUGGGUUUAAAGGGAGCGUAGAUGGUUUGUUAAGUCAGUUGUGAAAGGUUGCGGCUCAACCGUAAAAUUGCAAUUGAUACUGGCAGUCUUGAGUACAGUUGAGGUAGGCGGAAUUCGUGGUGUAGCGGUGAAAUGCUUAGAUAUCACGAAGAACCCCGAUUGCGAAGGCAGCUUACUAAACUGUGACUGACAUUGAUGCUCGAAAGUGUGGGUAUCAAACAGGAUUAGAUACCCCUGUAGUC